CACAGGUUUGCCGCCUUAAGCUUCUGGAUAAUGGAGAGCGCUCCACAAACAUAGCUUUUAUUGAGUUUGCUGAGGUUGAUGGUGCUAUUGCUGCUCUUAUGUCCGGCGGCAUUUACGUGGAUGGCAUUCCUAUCAGGAUGUGCCCAUCCAAGAGCCCAAUAAGGAACUAUUGCUUUGGGAGCCCAACUGCGCUGGAAGGGACGACCAUUGGUGGAUACUGUAGCUAUUAAGCUGGAGUGCGGAAACUGUUACCAGAGGGUGGCAUAUAGUAGCUCCACCAUGGUGUGUUAUCUACUGAUUAUCAGUUGCGUGUGGUUGACUCAUGAGUCAUGUGCACUCUUUAGACUUUUGGUUUAACUUAAUACCCAGAAAGAGGAACAA